rnacentral:miRNA from 1 species
GAUUGAGAGAGAACGUGAGAGGAGAGGAUGAGAGAGAAGUAACAAAAGUUAAAACAAAAACAAAAAACUGAAAUCUAUUUGAAAGUGUUUUCACCUUCAAGUUUUUGUUUUCACUUUUGUUACUCCUCCCUCUCAUCCUCUCUCUCAAUCUCAUCAUCACU